GACGGAGGAGGAACGCGUUAUCCGGAAUUAUUGGGCGUAAAGGGUACGUAGGCGGCUGGUCAAGUCUGGGGUUAAAGGCCACAGCUCAACUGUGGGAAGGCCCUGGAAACUGACCGGCUAGAGUGAGGUAGGGGUUCCGGGAAUUCCCGGUGUAGCGGGGAAAUGCGUAGAGAUCGGGAAGAACACCUGAGGCGGAAGCGCGCAACUGGGCCUCAACUGACGCUGAGGUAUGAAAGCUAGGGGAGCGAAUGGG
rnacentral:rRNA from 1 species